CAGGAGGAAUGAUGUGGACUUCUUCUGCCUGGUACCUUUUUUUAAACUUCUCUGCACGUGGCAGCGUGCACAGCUACAGUGCAUGUGUACAACCAGGAAGUGUUCAUCAUUAAAGUCAAGCCGAGGGAAAAGAUCUGGUCUGGGUGAUGACUGAGAGGAGCAUUUCGAAGCAGGUUACAGUGAAGCAGCUGGAGAGGCGAGCUGGACAGAGGCAGAGUAGCAGCUGAGGGGCCAGGUUCACAGGAAGGUGAGCAUCCAGGUGACUGUCUUUAUUUACUGUAGCAGAUCACUCAAAUUCUUUCACACCUACUCAAGACUGAUACGAUUUGAUGACCGUGAAUCAAGACCAGCAAGACGUGUGACAGACAAACUUGCAGCCAUAAGAGAGGUAUGGGACAAGUGGGUGGAACGGUUGCCCUACCUCUACAAUCCAGGGCCUGACGUAACAGUGGAUGAGCAACUGGUUCCAUUUAGAGGUAAUCUGUUUUCAUAUUUGUAAUAAAAGUGAUUUUCACUAUUGAUUUCUUUGACUGUUUUCUGUGACACUGAUACUAAUCACUGAUGCUAA